CCUCAGUCUGACCCUCAAAUACCCCACAGUGAGAGACAGUGGAGGAUACAUCUGCACCAUCUACAGGGACAAAGACAUCCUGAGACAGAAAGUAGUGCUGAAGGUCAAAGAACCGUUUCCGUCCUGGGCCACAGUUCUCCUGGUUUUCCUGCUUCUUCUUGUAGUUGUUUCUGCGAGUCUUUUAUUUCAUUUCCGUCAUUCCUUGGUGUCAGUUAUUCCAGUGAAGGUGGAGGUGGAGGAGGGGGCGGAGUCUGUCCAGCUGCCCUUCAAAACAACAAAAAACCUGUCGGGGGAAAUUCAAGUGAUAUGGGAACGUU